CCGAGGGGACAGCAGCCAAGAAGCAGAGGAGAACGGCGGAGACUGCAGAACCGCACAGACCGGGCCAAGAACAGACAGCAGCUUGGACAGGAGACGCCACGAGUUCCUUGCACGCAGCAACUGCAGUGGCAGGGUCUUGGAUCCUGCCGGGUUGGCCACUGUUUCCUGCCAUCCAGCCAGCAAGACAUCUGAGGUACUCCUGAACACCAUAUCCCUGGCACAGAAGACCCUGGCAUGAAAAAACUCCAGAGGUUCAGUGGUUAUAAGGAUGAAAAGAUCUGGUAGGAUGGAAAGCACACUCAUUGUCCAGAUCAAACCAAU